CAAAAACAUCGCCUCCUGACCAAACAUAGGAGGUCCAGCCUGCCCAGUGACAACAUUCAACGGCCGCGGUAUACUAACCGUGCGAAGGUAGCAUAAUCACUUGUUCUUUAAAUAAGGACUUGUAUCAACGGCAUCACGAGGGCUAUACUGUCUCCCCUCUCCAAUCAGUGAAACUGAUCUCCCCGUGAAGAAGCGGGGAUUAGUAUAUAAGACGAGAAGACCCCAUGGAGCUUUAACCCCGAUAUGUACCCUUUCGCUCAAGCACCAAUUUAACCUCAAGAGCCUGUAUAUCGGUUUUAGGCUGGGGGGGCCACGGAGUAAAAUUAAACCUCCACAACAAACGGGCUAAUUACCCUUAUCCACGACUUACAAAUCUAAGAAUCAUUAAAAUGAUGUUUAAUGACCCGAUAAUUCGAUCAUUGAACCAAGUUACCCUGGGGAUAACAGCGCAAUCCGCUUCAAGAGCCCAUAUCGACAAGCGGGUUUACGACCUCGAUGUUGGAUCAGGGUACCCCAGUGGUGCAACCGCUACUAACGGUUCGUUUGUUCAACGAUUAAAACCCUACGUGAUCUGAUUUCAGACCGG
rnacentral:rRNA from 1 species